AUGGCAGAUCUGAGUUUGGGAGUUCUAAUUGAUAUUGUUGAUGAGGAUUGGAUGAGAGACACUCUCCCUGAUGAUGAUCUUCCGCUGCCUCCUACACUGGUUGUUCGGACAGAUGAAACUGAGGACUCAAAUCAGGAGGCACAGCAAGUUAACGGGGAAGUUUGGCACGAGCUGGCCCUUGGCCAAGACUAG